CAGGACCUGGAGAUUGUCUACUCUUAUCUCCAUGGGAUGGAGGCCUUGUCUAACCUGCGAGAGCACCAGCUGAGGAUAAUGUGUGAGACGGUGCGUUAUGAGAGACAUGAGGCCAACGAAGUGCUAUACUACCCUGAUGACAUUGGAAGCUGUUGGUACAUCCUGUUGUCCGGCUCCGUCUUCAUCAAGGAGUCCAUGUUCUUGCCCAGAAGCAGGUAGGACCAUCGUCUGGUCAUUUCCGGGCCGGGUGCUGUUUAAUGGCUCGGUCUUGGCACUGACAUAUGAGCAGCUUUCUCUCUUCAAACACUAUUUAGAACAGUCACAGAGGGAGAUAAAAAAGCUAAUCCUGGACUUCAAAAAAGAGCCAACUUUAAUUUAUUCCAUCUCGAAAAAGUUUGUUUCCCUUCUUAUCAGCUUGCUCUUAUCCAGAGAAGUAGACAGGAGUGAAUGUUGUGUGCAGAGUGGCUAGUAAAGGUUACAAAGGACACACAUGCUUGUUGGAUUUCUAAAAAGGAAAAGUUUUAACGUGGUCAUUGCUUUUUCUAUCACAAAAAUUGGUUUUAUUUAUGAUUUCACUGAAGAGAAUCACUCAGGAGAAAGUGGCCACUCCUGCCAACUGCUCCAGCCACUGGACAAAAUGUGAAUGUUUUGACUUUGAAUGUUUUUUAUUGUUACACAUGACUUCAGUUUGCCCUGCUUGUAUGUAUAGUCCAAAAAUCCCAGUGCUUCCCAACACACAAUUUAGGUACUUCCCUUAGCUAAGAGAAGGAUGCUGGAGUGGUGCCUUGCAUUUUAUUGCUAGGCACCAGAGAUGCCAUCAUAUCUGUUCUGCAAUUCUAAAGAAACGAAAACAUUCAUGGUCAUUCAGGGUAUUUCCAUCCUGCUGAAAAGUCCCAAAUGACGCACAUAAAGGAUACAUAAAAUUCUAGAUAAAUAAAUACAUGACCGAAAUUCAUUCUAUCUGAGAAAUGCCACAAAUGAAAAAAAAACAAAAAACCCAGGCAUAAUCCCACAUACCUGCAGUUUUAGACAAACAAAGCACUCACAGGGACUAACUUACAUAAAUGCUUUCUUUGCCUCUUUAAUAUCAUAAACAGAGUCACAAAAUGCUCCACACUGGCCAACACGGUCUCAACAGUACACUCAAGAAUUCCACAAGCUUCUCUGCAGCCUACAGCAUACAGGCCUCUACAAACGUCUUUCCUGAUCAGCAGUCUGAAAUUAAAUAAUCCUAACAAAUCAUAACAAAAAUUCUAUAAAUAGAGCAAAGAAAAUGUGCACCUUCCUGGGAAAAAAGUU